UGGCUUGUAUGAUACACAAUU
rnacentral:piRNA from 1 species